CACGUAGGGGCCAAGCGUUGUCCGGAUUCAUUGGGCGUAAAGAGCUCGUAGGCGGUUCAGUUAGUCGGGUGUGAAAUCUCCGGGCUCAACCCGGACGGGGCCACCCGAUACUGCUGUGACUCGAGUCCGGUAGGGGAGUGGGGAAGUUCCUGGUGUAGCGGUGAAAGUGACGCAGAUAUCAGGAGGAACACCGGUGGCGAAGGCGCCACUCGUGGGCCGGUACUGACGCUGAGGAGCGAAAGCGUGGGUAGCAAACAGG
rnacentral:rRNA from 1 species